GGAUGAGUGGCGAACGGGUGAGUAACACGUGGGAAAUCUGCCUAGGAGUGGGGGAUAACAUUCGGAAACGGAUGCUAAUACCGCAUAUCUUUUUGAACCGCAUGGUUCUUAAACGGAAGACGGCUUCGGCUGUCGCUCUUAGAUGAUCCCGCGGCGUAUUAGUUAGUUGGUGGGGUAAAGGCCUACCAAGACCAUGAUACGUAGCCGACCUGAGAGGGUGAUCGGCCACACUGGGACUGAGACACGGCCCAGACUCCUACGGGAGGCAGCAGUAGGGAAUCCUCCACAAUGGGUGAAAACCUGAUGGAGCAAUGCCGCGUGAAUGAAGAAGGUCUUCGGAUCGUAAAGUUCUGUUAUUAGAGAAGAACAAGUCAAGGAGUAACUGUCUUGACUUUGACGGUACCUAACCAGAAAGUCACGGCUAACUACGUGCCAGCAGCCGCGGUAAUACGUAGGUGACAAGCGUUGUCCGGAAUUAUUGGGCGUAAAGGGAGCGCAGGCGGUUGGAAUAGUCUGAUGUGAAAGCCCACGGCUUAACCGUGGAAGGUCAUUGGAAACUGUCCAACUUGAAUACAGAAGAGGUAAGUGGAAUUCCAAGUGUAGCGGUGAAAUGCGUAGAUAUUUGGAGGAACACCAGUGGCGAAGGCGACUUACUGGUCUGUAAUUGACGCUGAGGCUCGAAAGCGUGGGUAGCAAACAGGAUUAGAUACCCUGGUAGUCCACGCCGUAAACGAUGAGUGCUAAGUGUUAGGGGGUUUCCGCCCCUUAGUGCUGGAGUUAACGCAU
rnacentral:rRNA from 1 species